CGGCACUAUUCCGGUUCGGUAGUGGAUAGAGCUUCAACCUGACCCGAACCGACCGUGUAUAUGUUCUUACCUUUUCUUUGAUUUUUAGUUUUGAUGAUUGGAUUACUUAGCGCAUCUCCAUCAGAUGCGUCAAACGUACCUGUUAGCUAACUUGGCAAAGGAUUUGCAGGAAAAGUCACUCGAUCAGUCUCGCUACUUGCCGGGCCAGAAUAGCAGCAGUACGGAAGCCUUGUUGCAUCUAGCGAGGGUUGAAGUCUGUCUAGAUAUUAAAAAACUAUUUUUUUUUCUUCUUCAAUACAAUGGCUCUCUCUCUCUCUUUAUUCUCCUCAUCAGUUUCUUCUCCAAACAAAAAUCCAACAUAAAUUGCAGUAAUCUGCUGGAGCAAUUUUCUGCUGGCAAGAUUGAUGCAGAUGGUUGAGCAAUUUUCUGCUGGCAAUUUUAAUCUGCUCGAUAGUAACCUGCUCGAGCAAUUUAUUGAUACUAAUGCUCUGUUUGACAAUUGGUUUGUGAUGCAUAGUAAUCUGCUGAAUUUUUGUGAUGCAUAAGAUUUUUUUUAAGAUGAACAAGUUAUGUACUUCUAAGUUGUUUGUGUUUUAAGAUGAAAAGGUCUAUUUUUGUUGAACAAUGCAGCAAAAUUGUGGGUGAUACUAUGCUAUCUAUGUAAUGGUUUGGCUUUGUGGGUGAUAUUAUGCUAUCUAUGGAGUAAAUUUGGUUUACUCUUUUGGUUUAUGAAUAUCUUGAGAAGGGUUUUGAUUUCUUUCAAGUAUAUAUAUAUACGAAUUACCUGCUUUUUGUGGGAGAGCAAUCCAAUUCCCUCCAGUCCCAUGCUUCUCUAUAUACUUUUUCAGCUUUGCAUCUUCUUCAGGUGCCCAUGGCCCUCUCUUCACAUUUUCCUUGUCAAAGCAGGGAGCUCUUCCCAUCUGUGUGUGUGUGUGUGUGUAACAAAGGUUCUUCUAAAAUGGGUUGAAGAUGCUUGUGGUGAAGGUGGCUUUGUUUCUUUAGAAGACUUGGGUUCUUGGACAGAAAGCAGUAUAUAUUUAUUGUGAGACAUACACAAGUCAAAUAUCAAGCCUCUUGUCAUGUUAGUUCUGUUGAGAAUCCUGCUAAAAAAAUCUCCAGACAUUACCUUAGCUUAGAGGUUGCACAUUGGAAAAAUUGUCGGUUUCCUUGUCCUUCAUUACCCAAGGCCAAGCAAUUCAGAAGGGGAGGCUAAUUUGUUCAGUUGCAACAGAACCCUUACCAAAGCAAGUUGAAGAAUCCAAAAUGGACAUGCCCAAAGAAAUUUUUCUAAAAGAUUACAAGUUGCCUUAUUACUACUUUUGCAUGGAAUUAUUAUUUUAGAUUGGAAUAUACUUAGUUUGUAUGGCAUUUGAUAUUAAAAGUUAACUUAGUUUGUAUGGCAUUUGAUAUUAAAAGUUAUUCCUUUUUGGAUGGUUGGAAGUGAAAUGGAUGCAAAUUGCAAAAUGAUUGAUAAUAUAUGUAUUGUUUUGUUUA